AUGUUAAUGGAAUCAUUGUUGAUAACAAAACAUAAAACUCGUCUCUUGCUAGUGAGAUGCUUUCUUUGGAGUUAUCUCAAUAGAGAAUAAUAAUGAAGCAUCUAAAUGAGAAGCUGCUGUGACCAAUCACAACUUUAUCAAGUCAUAAUUCCAUGCUAAUAAGCCAAAUAUAAACAAAUUAAAGAAAAACAAGUGAGCUUUGAACUUCACU
rnacentral:lncRNA from 1 species